GUGGGGAAUAUUGCACAAUGGGGGAAACCCUGAUGCAGCCAUGCCGCGUGUGUGAAGAAGGCCUUCGGGUUGUAAAGCACUUUCAGCGAGGAGGAAAGGGGGAUAGCUAAUACCUAUUCUCUGUGACGUUACUCGCAGAAGAAGCACCGGCUAACUCCGUGCCAGCAGCCGCGGUAAUACGGAGGGUGCAAGCGUUAAUCGGAAUUACUGGGCGUAAAGCGCACGCAGGCGGUCAGAUAAGUCAGAUGUGAAAGCCCCGGGCUCAACCUGGGAACUGCAUUUGAAACUGUCUGACUAGAGUCUUGUAGAGGGGGGUAGAAUUCCAGGUGUAGCGGUGAAAUGCGUAGAGAUCUGGAGGAAUACCGGUGGCGAAGGCGGCCCCCUGGACAAAGACUGACGCUCAGGUGCGAAAGCGUGGGGAGCAAACAGGAUUAGAUACCCGGGUAGUCC
rnacentral:rRNA from 1 species